UUUCUGUCCGACAUCUUGACGAGCCUGCAGUGGUCUUCGCUGCUCUCCGGGCUCCGCGAUGCCGCCCAAAGACGACAAGAAGAAGAAAGAUGCCGGAAAGUCGGCCAAGAAAGACAAAGACCCACUGAACAAAUCUGGGGGCAAGGCCAAAAAAAAGAAGUGGUCCAAAGGCAAAGUUCGGGACAAGCUGAACAACUUGGUUCUGUUCGAUAAAGCUACUUACGACAAACUCUGUAAGGAAGUUCCCAACUAUAAACUCAUAACGCCUGCUGUGGUCUCUGAGAGACUGAAGAUCCGUGGAUCACUGGCCAGAGCAGCCCUUCAGGAGCUCCUUAGUAAAGGGCUUAUCAAGUUGGUUUCAAAGCACAGAGCUCAAGUUAUUUAUACCAGAAAUACCAAGGGUGGAGAUGCUCCUGCCGCUGGUGAAGAUGCAUGAUGAAUAGGCUCAACCAGGUGUACAUUUGGAAAAAAUAAAAUUUUAUUA